GAUGAACGCUGGCGGCGUGCCUAAUACAUGCAAGUCGAGCGAACAGACGAGGAGCUUGCUCCUCUGACGUUAGCGGCGGACGGGUGAGUAACACGUGGAUAACCUACCUAUAAGACUGGGAUAACUUCGGGAAACCGGAGCUAAUACCGGAUAAUAUAUUGAACCGCAUGGUUCAAUAGUGAAAGACGGUUUUGCUGUCACUUAUAGAUGGAUCCGCGCCGCAUUAGCUAGUUGGUAAGGUAACGGCUUACCAAGGCAACGAUGCGUAGCCGACCUGAGAGGGUGAUCGGCCACACUGGAACUGAGACACGGUCCAGACUCCUACGGGAGGCAGCAGUAGGGAAUCUUCCGCAAUGGGCGAAGGCCUGACGGAGCAACGCCGCGUGAGGGAUGAAGGUCUUCGGAUCGUAAAACUCUGUUAUUAGGGAAGAACAAAUGUGUAAGUAACUAUGCACGUCUUGACGGUACCUAAUCAGAAAGCCACGGCUAACUACGUG
rnacentral:rRNA from 1 species